rnacentral:snoRNA from 1 species
ACGACCUUACUUGAACAGGAUCUGUUCUAUAGUCUCGUACCUCUGUUUCCUUGAUUUCUCAAGAGACAGGCCCUUAACCCUGGUUGAUGAACCAUGACCGUUCGACUAGAGCGUGAUUGAUGGCCACGAUCGUCUUAGGACGCAUCCGGUGCUGUAGAGGAUCGUUACUCGGCUCGGUUCUACCUUGCCGGGGUGGUUGCACAGCGGUCUGACAGGCU